rnacentral:lncRNA from 1 species
CUUUGAACAGUGGCGAACCAUUACUGUGCAAUGCAGGUGUCAGUGCUGGAGAUGGAUGGACAGUUUGACAAACUGGACGAGCUCAUCUACGUGGAAAGCCACCUGAGCAACAUCUCGACCCGCUUCUACGGGGAGAUCACGCAGCAAAUGCUCAAGCACGCCGACUUCCCGGGCAGCAACAACGGCACGGGCUUGUUCCAGACCAUUGUGGGCCUCAAGAUCAGAGAUGUGUUUGAGCGCAUCACCUCCAAGCAAGGCUCCCCCGUUGGGGCGGCAGCAGCCACCUCCAAGGUCUAAUUAUUGCUGUAUCGUAUCACGUUAUCUUCUUACGAUAAAGAUGACAUAGAUAAAUAUAUAAUAGACCAGACCCUGUUU